UCACGAGGGCUAGACUGUCUCCCCUCUCUAAUCAGUGAAUCUGACUUCUUCGUGAAGAGGCGAAGAUACUUAUAUAAGACGAGAAGACCCCAUGGAGCUUAAAACCAAACAACACUCUUUUGCAUACAGACCCUAAAAAAUAAAAGAUCUGUUGACUAGUUUUUGGCUGGGGCAUCCGAGGAGUACAAAACAACCUCCCUGACAAAUAUCCUAGAGUCACAACUCCAAGAAACAGCAAACUCACGUAACCUGACCCGAUACAAUAAUCGAUCAACGAACCAAGUUACCCUGGGGAUAACAGCGCAAUCCAUUUCAAGAGCUCCUAUCGACAAAUGGGUUUAC
rnacentral:rRNA from 1 species